CAGCGAAACCGCCGCGAGGCGGUCUGCCGGACGUGGUUGUCCGGUACUGAUGAGCAGCCGAGG
rnacentral:hammerhead_ribozyme from 1 species